AACAAAUAUAGUAUCUGAAAUCUAAAGAAAAAGGUAGAGUGAACAAUAUAGCAAAAGCAUCAUCCAAAUUAAUCUCACAGAAGAUAGAGAAUAAAAAACUACUAAACAAAACCAAAAAGAAAAAUAAAAUAAGCCCAAACAAAAAAAUUAAUGGGCAUAUGGUUUUAAGCACAUCAAGUGACACUGAGAUUUUGCUUAGUUAAGAUUUCAUCCUAGAUCAAGAAAUAACAGAGGCUACACAUAUAUUACAUGAUUCCAUGCAAAAAAGUUUGCACUACCAUGACCAAUAUUCAGUGUCAUUCAAACUCAAGCAUAGGGCAAGAAUGACGAAUUUCAUAAAACAACUUCCUUACACCUCUUCAACUUAAAAGUCUCAAAUGCACUUAACACCUGAGUAUUGCAUCCAUCAUGGGAG
rnacentral:misc_RNA from 1 species